AUUGAACGCUGGCGGCAUGCCUUACACAUGCAAGUCGAACGGCAGCACGGGUGCUUGCACCUGGUGGCGAGUGGCGAACGGGUGAGUAAUACAUCGGAACGUACCUUAUCGUGGGGGAUAACGCAGCGAAAGUUGCGCUAAUACCGCAUACGCCCUGAGGGGGAAAGCGGGGGACCGUAAGGCCUCGCGCGAUUAGAGCGGCCGAUGUCUGAUUAGCUUGUUAGUGAGGUAAAAGCUCACCAAGGCGAUGAUCAGUAGCUGGUCUGAGAGGACGAUCAGCCACACUGGGACUGAGACACGGCCCAGACUCCUACGGGAGGCAGCAGUGGGGAAUUUUGGACAAUGGGGGCAACCCUGAUCCAGCAAUGCCGCGUGAGUGAAGAAGGCCUUCGGGUUGUAAAGCUCUUUUGUCAGGGAAGAAACAGCAGCUCUAACACAGUCUGCGAAUGACGGUACCUGAAGAAUAAGCACCGGCUAACUACGUGCCAGCCGCCGCCGCGG
rnacentral:rRNA from 1 species